rnacentral:rRNA from 1 species
ACGGGAGGCAGCAGUGAGGAAUAUUGGUCAGUGGGCGGGAGCCUGAACCAGCCAAGUAGCGUGGAGGAUGACGGCCCUACGGGUUGUAAACUCCUUUUGCCGGGGGAUAAAGAACGGGACGCGUCCCGUCUUGCAGGUACCCGUGCGAAUAAGGACCGGCUAAUUCCGUGCCAGCAGCCGCGGUAAUACGGAAGGUCCGAGCGUUAUCCGGAUUUAUUGGGUUUAAAGGGUGCGCAGGCGGCUUUUUAAGUCAGUGGUUAAAUCGUGACGCUCAACGUCAUCACGCCAUUGAUACUCGAGAGCUUGAUUGCGGUCGAGGUUUGCGGAAUUCGUCGUGUAGCGGUGAAAUGCAUAGAUAUGACGAAGAACACCGAUUGCGUAGGCAGCAGACCAGGCCGUAAAUGACGCUCAUGCACGAAAGUGCGGGGAUCGAACAGGAUUAGAUACCCUGGUA